GUCCAGCUGACGAGUCCAAAAUAGAACGAAGCGCGCUUUCUGGAU
rnacentral:hammerhead_ribozyme from 1 species